UACAUGGGGUGCAAGCGUUGCUCGGAAUUAUUGGGCGUAAAGCGCGCGUAGGCGGUUACUCAAGUCGGAUGUGAAAGCCCUCGGCUUAACUGAGGAAGUGCACCCGAAACUGAGUAGCUAGAGUACUAAAGAGGGUCGCGGAAUUCCCGGUGUAGAGGUGAAAUUCGUAGAUAUCGGGAGGAACACCGGUGGCGAAGGCGGCGACCUGGGUAGAUACUGACGCUGAGGCGCGAAAGCGUGGGGAGCAAACAGG
rnacentral:rRNA from 1 species